rnacentral:rRNA from 1 species
AUGACUAAUCUAAAUCUAUGUUCGUCUAGUUAUAUCAACAUACUUAGUUCGAGAACACUCAUCCACUGUAAACACUCGUUGAUAAGACGUGUAAAAAAAUCUAUUUUUAUCAUUGAGCUCGUGACGACGGGACAACGUCCGAAAGUUGAGUGAUAUAGUACAACUAGAACAACAGAAAUAACUAGUAACUCUUCUUUCGUUCUUUCCAUACGAUUUCGAAUUUAAAUAACCAACAAUACUUAACUUGUCGAUCAGUUCUUCUCUACACAAACCACUACAAAUACACGACUCAACACGAUGGCAAAUGUACUACUUAGAAAACAACAACCAAGAAUAAUCAACUUUAACAUAUACCUAACAGUUACGAAAAUUAGGGUCACGAAAAAUAACCAAAAAGUCACACGCCAAAGAUAGAGUAUAACUAUCAACUAUCUUCCCUGGAACAGUGUAAACAUCCCUCGAACGUCCACGAGACUGUAAUCUUGGCAAAACGAAACAGGCUUCUGCAGCACAAGUCAACGACCCACGGAAAGCCAAGUAACCAAAACCGUGAGCUCCUGAUAUAUCUAAAAGACUUCUUCGUUAGACGUUUAAUCAACUUCUCCACGAGACUGUAAUCUUGGCAAAACGAAACAGGCUUCUGCAGCACAAGUCAACGACCCACGGAAAGCCAAGUAACCAAAACCGUGAGUUCCUGAUAUAUCUAAAAGACUUCUUCGUUAGACGUUUAAUCAACUUCUCCAUUUCCUUAGCUUCGUUCUCCUGAACAUGAGCUAACCUUUAACACAAAGACGCGAUCUCUAUUAACUUCUCGAUAGACAAAGUCGUUUUCGUUUCCGCGACACCGAAAAGUUUACGGGUUACUUAUCACUCUAUAAGUAGUUAUGGUUCUUGGGUUCGGAAUCCGAAAAGACCAACUUCCUCCUCUAAUGACGUUACCUCUCUUGUAUUCAAGUCAGUUGUAGUUCUACGUCAUGGAAUAUAGCUACUCCUACGCCUCACCUCUUUGCUGAACGCAUCCCGAUCACUAGCGGCGAAACGUCAAGAAGAUUAAGCUUUCAUAGAGAACGGCACCUGUACCGUUCACUAUUAAGUAAAAAAACAACGGCACUUGUUUAAACUUACUACUACCGUGUACUUUUGCCAAAGCUGGUUGCGAGCUAGACUUACUCUACACCUGGCUGGCCAUAGACUUGGGAACACUUAACUACCGAUAACCAGCAUUAUUAAGGAUUUUUA